CUUAUGCUCAUUUGUAAGUUGCUUUGGAUAAAAGCAUCUGCUAAAUGUAAAUGU
rfam:Danio rerio chromosome 7, GRCz11 reference primary assembly.